rnacentral:miRNA from 1 species
AGUCAAGGCUAAAUAGGAUCCUGGAAUGAGGCACCUGUGACAGGGAGGGGUGCAAAACCAAGGAGCUGGCCUAGGUUUUGCACCCCUCCCUGUCACAGGUGCCUCAUUCCAGGAUCCUAUUUAGCCUUGACUU